UUUUAGUACCUGCAGUUUCUGCUGAUGAAAACUCUCAACAACAUGCACGAGACAUCAUCCUAGUUCUAUAUCGAACGAUGACCUGCGUACAAACAUGACACAACACAUUGCUGACGAUCAUCAUGAUGAUGAUGAUCUUGAUGAUGAUCAUUACAUACGUACUCCGAGAGGAUUCGAGAUAGCUGCUGCAGUGGUGUGUGCUAUUAUUGGGGCUUCUAUUGUUAUGUGUUAUUUUACUUGGAGAUACAGAUACAAGAUCAUUCUCAGAGCGAAAACUCAAGAAAUGACAGUAGUUCAAAAUCUAGUAGCAUUAGCUGAACAAGGAAUAGAAGAAAAUGGACAAAUGGCCAGAAGACCUGAUACCUUCGAUCACCCUCUGCAUGACUUGGAUAGAAGCUCAAGAAUCGUUCAUGAGAAUCACCACAAAUUUCUGCCAGCACGAUUUCUGGCCUUAGACACCCCCAUUGAUGAUGCGAAAUCACUUGAUCAGAUUUUUAUUAACAUGGUGUCAUCUUCGGAGAGAUACUCAGAUCCCAAGACAGUAUCCCAAAAUGUCAAUCGCUCCAAGUUUAUGAAAACCCGGAGCAGACGAGACUCAGAUAACUCAGAAUUAGAAAGGCGUAGAAGGAAGUCUGUGAGAGGCGGAAAUCGUCGAUUUUCUUUAGGAUUAUUGGAUAACAUAAAAGUGAUACAACCCCACGAGAAGAGGCGGCUAUCAACGAUUCCCUCAGAUACGAAACAAGGUUUGGAAGACGGCUUCCCAACAACAUCAGAUGACACUCAAACGAUUAGUGGACGUUUGCGACCUAAAAAACGGACAAAAUCCUUGCCUGAUAUAUUAAAGGGAGAUUCUUCUGAUGGGGUCAGGCAACACACUAGCGACAAGGAGAGCAAUAUUUAUAGCUGAUUAUUAUAACUUGAGUACAUACUUAAGAUUCUUACUUGAUUGGAACAAUCAGGGCAGGAUACAAAAAUGUAGAAGACGUCAUAUUAAUGCGUGGAGCGUAAAGACUAAACUAACAUUGGGUGUAUUGCUGCUAACCCAAGCGUGACAAUACUUUGUAAACUCACAUCCACCACAAUAUUGGAUCAAUAAAUUGAUAUUUAUUUUACAAUUAAUGGUAGAGUAAGACUAUCUUAUACAAAUAUUACAUACUGAUUUGAUUUUGAUUACUGUAAAUUAAAUGCG